UUCUGUAAACCUAGCAAUCUCCUUCUAGCCGUAUGUGACCUUUCGCAACCUCUCUUCAGCUUAGUUCUUCGUCACUGCUCCUUCUGUUUUGAAGACUAUGGUGCAUCCCCUUCCCAAUAACUACAUCAGUAAUAAUCGAACAACACAGUUACAAUUUCAAGAUGACCCUCUCUUCAUCCUCUCCUGCUUCGCUGUAUAUAUAUGGAGCUCAACCCUUACACGAAGUCCCGAUUAUCACUCCUAAUCACACAAAAACCACAUCAGCAAUUUCUCAAAAAGGCUCCAAAUCUAUCGUCGCCAACCUUCCAACUGUUUUCUCCCAAUACGUUGUCGCUGGUGAUUGUGCUAAUUAAUUAGGAGCAGAUCUUCUACCAAAGAUGCAUGGUUAUGAAGAAUUAUUAUGGUGGAUCAGACAAUGAGUAUGAGGAUGAAAAAUUAACUCCAAAGGAAGACUGGAGUAUCUUGAAUUGCGCCAAAAGGCAACGAGUCCAUCAGUUACAGGUUGCUUCCAUCAUUGAACUCAUAAGAUCUAACCAUGCCUUCAAUGUAAAUUGUAAUGCCGAGUUUAAGCAGAGCUUUGAAGAGGUGUGGUGUAUAACUGACAUCUGUAUUUCUUAUGAUUUCUAUGUUUCUUUAUUUCGAAAAUGAUCUAUAAGAUUGAGCGUUUUUUAUCCGCUUACGUGUAGCUUAUCUAUGUUAUCUCAAACUAUUUACGGUGAUCUUUGAAUGAUAAGUCUCCAUCAUUGUCAAUUUAUGGUAUGUUUAUUUCAAUUGAACUUUUAUUCAAAAAAAUUGACUACUUUUUGUUCUCGACCUUAUCUUUAUAAUUUCGUAAUGCAAUUUUGUACUUUUAUAAUUUCAAGAUCAAAACUUCAGCACAGAUUUCUGAAUGGGGGAACAAUAUUCUUUGACCAAGAAGAGUGAUAUUCGUCGGUGGACUUCAGCAGGCCAACCGGUUGUGUGAAUAUGUAACGAUGAUGAAAUUUAUGGAAGAAAGUUGGCAAAAGAAAAUGAAUACUUUGCAAUCCAGUAUGCCCAUUACAGAGAGAAGACUAAAGGCCGAGGAUUCAGAUAGAAACUUGGAUGCAUCUGAGAAGGCUAGCGAUGUCUACUGAUUUCUCUAGAAGUGGUGUGACUGCAGGAGGACCCUUGGGAGAACUAGAAGUCUGGUUGUGGGAUUAAGUGUGAUAAAGCCGGUUAGCAAAAGUAUUCAGUAAAGAGAUCAAGUGUGUGUUGAUGAAACUGAAAUCUGGUAAAGUGGAGGUACACUUGAAUCUGUAAAGGGAUCUUGGGAUGCUGAAAGAAAUGUUUGAGACAUGGAAAAGGUAUUAUAUGGAGGAAGACUGAGGGAAACAAAACGAUACUUAGCAAAUUUGGGAGUGAAGAAACUGGUGGUUCAGUGGAGAAGAUGAAGAUGAAGUGGUGUGAGAAGUUGAGGAGUACCAGAUACAAUGACCUGUUUUUUCCUCGAGAUGCAAAUCUUUUUUUAACACGUUUUGUGUCAUAUGAGGUUUUGGUUUUGUUACUGAUAACGGUUAAAUAGCUCCAUCGUACUAAAAAGACUCACGUUUCAGUAAACUUUUUAAUAUUAAACAUGUAUCUAUAA